AUUGAACGCUAGCGGCAUGCUUUACACAUGCAAGUCGCACGCGUGGCGCACGGGUGGGUAAUGUAUCGGAACGUGCCCAAUAGCGGGGGAUAACUAAUCGAAAGAUUGGCUAAUACCGCCUACUAUUGGAGCGGCCGGUCUCGGAUUAGGUAGUUGGUGGGGUAACGGCUCACCAAGGCAACGAGCAGUACCUGGUCUGAGAGGACGCCCAGCCACACUGGGACUGAGACACGGCCCAUACUCCUACGGGAGGCAGCAGUGGGGAAUAUUGGACAAUGGGGGAAACCCUGAUCCAGCCAUCCCGCGUGUAUGAGAAGGCCUUCGGGUUGUAAAGCACUUUUGGCAGAGAAGCGGUAUCUUCAGAGUAAGCACCGGCUAACUACGUGCCAGCCGCCGCGGUAAUAC
rnacentral:rRNA from 1 species